UACGGAGGGGGCAAGCGUUAUUCGGAAUCAUUGGGCGUAAAGGGCGCGUAGGCGGCUUGGCAAGUCAAAGGUGAAAUCCCUCGGCCCAACCGAGGAACUGCCUUUGAUACUGCUUGGCUCGAGGCCGGGAGAGGGUAGCGGAAUUCCCAGUGUAGCGGUGAAAUGCGUAGAUAUUGGGAGGAACACCAGUGGCGAAGGCGGCUACCUGGGACGGUACUGACGCUGAGACGCGAAAGCGUGGGGAGCGAACAGG
rnacentral:rRNA from 1 species